rnacentral:rRNA from 1 species
UACGUAGGGUGCAAGCGUUGUCCGGAAUUACUGGGCGUAAAGAGCGCGUAGGCGGCUCGGUAAGUGUGAAGUGAAAUCUCUAGGGCUCAACCCAGAAACUGCUUUACAUACUGUCGAGCUGGAGUGAUGAAGAGGUUUGUGGAAUUCCUGGUGUAGCGGUGAAAUGCGUUGAUAUCAGGAGGAACACCCAUGGCGAAGGCAGCAAACUGGUCAUCAACUGACGCUGAGGCGGACGAAA